GUGUCAGCCGCCGCGGUAAUACAGAGGUCCCGAGCGUUGUUCGGAUUCACUGGGCGUAAAGGGUGCGCAGGUGGUUUGGCAAGUUUGAUGUGAAAGCCCCGGGCUUAACCCGGGAAUGGCAUUGAAUACUGCUUGAACUGGAGGGUUGGAGGGGGGACUGGAAUUCUUGGUGUAGCAGUGAAAUGCGUAGAUAUCAAGAGGAACACCAGUGGCGAAGGCGAGUCCCUGGACAAACCCUGACACUGAGGCACGAAAGCCAAGGGAGCAAACAGGAUUAGAUACCCUGGUAGUCC
rnacentral:rRNA from 1 species